rnacentral:rRNA from 1 species
UGGCAGGUCAGCAUACUGCCGUGAAUACGUUCCCGGGCCUUGUACACACCGCCCGUCACACCAUGAGAGUUGGGAAUACCCGAAGCCUGUGAGCUAACUUUUAGAGGCAGCAGUCGAAGGUAGAAUCAAUGAUUGGGGUGAAGUCGUAACAAGGUAUC